rnacentral:tRNA from 2 species
AAUAGCUCAGUCGGUAGAGCAUUUCACUUUUAAUGAAAGGGCCCUGGGUUCGAGUCCCAGUU